UACGAAGGGGGCUAGCGUUGUUCGGAAUUACUGGGCGUAAAGCGUGCGCAGGCGGCUUCUCAAGUCAGGGGUGAAAGCCCAGAGCUCAACUCUGGAAUUGCCUUUGAGACUGAGUGGCUUGAGUACGGGAGAGGUGAGUGGAAUUCCCAGUGUAGAGGUGAAAUUCGUAGAUAUUGGGAAGAACACCGGUGGCGAAGGCGGCCCACUGGCCCGUAACUGACGCUCAUGCACGACAGCGUGGGGAUCAAACAGG
rnacentral:rRNA from 1 species